UGGUCAAGUUAUUAAGGGUGCAGGGCGGAUGCCUUGGCACUAGGAGCCGAUGAAGGACGUGAUAAGCUGCGAUAAGCUUCGGGGAGUUGCACGUAAACUUUGAUCCGAAGAUUUCCGAAUGAGGAAACUCACUUAGAGUAAUGUCUAAGUAUCAUUAAGUGAAUACAUAGCUUAAUGAGGGGAACUCAGGGAACUGAAACAUCUAAGUACCUGAAGGAAGAGAAAGAAAUUCGAUUCCGUAAGUAGCGGCGAGCGAACGCGGAUUAGCCCAAACCAAUAAAGUUUUCUUUAUUGGGGUUGCGGACAUAUCAUAACGAAGAGGUAUCGUAAUUGAAGAGGUUUGGAAAGACCCACCACAGAAGGUAAUAGUCCUGUAUGUUAAACGAGAAGACUUCAGAUAUGAUCCAGAGUACCACGGGACACGUGAAACCCUGUGGGAAGCAGGAGGGACCACCCUCCAAGGCUAAAUACUACCUAGUGACCGAUAGCGUAUAGUACCGUGAGGGAAAGGUGAAAAGAACCCCGGGAGGGGAGUGAAAUAGAACCUGAAACCCUGCACUUACAAGCUGUGGAAGCACAUUUCUUGUGUGACCUCGUACUUUUUGUAGAACGGGCCAACGAGUUACGUUAAGUAGCAAGGUUAAGCACUUAAGGUG
rnacentral:rRNA from 1 species